AUUGAACGCUGGCGGCAUGCCUUACACAUGCAAGUCGAACGGCAGCACGGGUGCUUGCACCUGGUGGCGAGUGGCGAACGGGUGAGUAAUACAUCGGAACAUGUCCUGUAGUGGGGGAUAGCCCGGCGAAAGCCGGAUUGAUACCGCAUACGAUCCACGGAUGAAAGCGGGGGACCUUCGGGCCUCGCGCUAUAGGGUUGGCCGAUGGCUGAUUAGCUAGUUGGUGGGGUAAAGGCCUACCAAGGCGACGAUCAGUAGCUGGUCUGAGAGGACGACCAGCCACACUGGGACUGAGACACGGCCCAGACUCCUACGGGAGGCAGCAGUGGGGAAUUUUGGACAAAGGGCGAAAGCCUGAUCCAGCAAUGCCGCGUGUGUGAAGAAGGCCUUCGGGUUGUAAAGCACUUUUGUCCGGAAAGAAAUCCUUGGCUCUAAUACAGUCGGGGGAUGACGGUACCGGAAGAAUAAGCACCGGCUAACUACGUG
rnacentral:rRNA from 1 species